GUGGAGCUUGGCUGGCUCCCGGCGCGCGCCCCCUUCCCACGGGCUGGGAACGGGAGUGGGGCGGGGCUGGGGCGGUUCUGCUCGCUCGGUCCCCCACACACCGGGCUUCGUGUCUCCCCGCUUUAAUCUUCCUUCCGCUUAAAAUUGCAGGGGUGGUUUCUGUUUCCUACAGAUGGACUCUCCCUGAGAUAGGUGAAGAGGGAAGAGGACCCAGGCUAAUGUCCAGAGGAACGUCCAGCACUGAAAAUGGGCAGGAAGGAGAGAGAUCAGAGAAGGAUCUUCAAGGAGGAUGGGAAGAGCAUCAAGAGAGGGAGGAAGGGAGAAGCGUGGUUUCAAGGACACCAAAAUUAACCAUGUCAGUGUCUGCUGCUGCCAGGAAGCAGAACUUGAAAAUGUGACCUUAUUUGGAAAUACAAUCUUCACAGAUGUAAUCAAGAUCAGAUCAUGAUGGAUUCAGUGGAAGGUUUGGGCACCUGGAAGAAGGCCAUGUGACAAUGGAAACAGA